AAGUCGUAACAAGGUUUCCGUAGGUGAACCUGCGGAAGGAUCAUUACUGGGUCAUGGGCUCCGGCCCGCCACCCGCCCUCUGUCAUACACAUCGAAAUGCUUCGGCCGAUGGUCCUGCGAGCGCCUGGCGAGAGCCCGGCGCGGACGGGGCCGCGGUCGGUCUUCCAACCCUGAGUGCAUGCUUGCAGUCUGAAGAAAAGAUUUAAACGAAACCAAAACUUUCAACAACGGAUCUCUUGGUUCUG
rnacentral:misc_RNA from 1 species